CUCAUUUAAAAAAUAAGUCUAUUGAAUUGACUCAUGAAAGAGAACAUCUAAUGGAAGCCUUAUUUGUAUGUCAAAGAUAGUUCUCUAAAUGAAAGUUGUGCAAGUGAUCCUUAGACUUGAGACCAUCACAGAAUCUUAUGCACAUGAACCCAUAUUUCGAUUCAUACCCAAGCAUGGCAUUAAGACAUAUACGGGGUGUUCUGGAUGUGGUGGAGUAUAUAUGGAGAUUAUGAGUAGGUUAACAUGGAAUCAAUCACUCCUAGUAAGAGGAGAUCACAUCCUGUGUAUUCUCAAUCCU
rnacentral:lncRNA from 1 species